UGACAGGGAAUAAGGGGUAGCAAUACUCAUAUUAGACAAAACAGACUUUAAAACAAAGACCAUAAAGAAAGACAUAGAAGGACACUAUAUAUGAUAAGAAUAACAAUACAAGAAGAGGAUAUUAUACU